GUGCUCACUUCAGAAGCACAUAUAUACUAAAAUUGGAGUCAUACAGAGAAGUUUAGCCUGGCCCCUGUGCAAGGAUGACACGCAAAUUCAUGAGCGUUCCAUAUUUUU
rnacentral:snRNA from 1 species